UUAAUGCCAUAACCAAAUCUGUUUGUUAUCAUUUAAAGAGAUUUCUAUAACAAACAAAUCCAAUAAAUUUAGAUUAAUAAAUAAAAAUAAAUCUCUUUUAAAACGAUAUAAGUUAUUAUAUAUACCAUAUCUAACAAUAACUAAAUAUUAUGAUCCUAACAAAUCGAGCAUCUAUACCUAAAAACACUGAAUUCGCAAAUUCAUAUUGGAAAAAAACCUAAAUAAUCAAUUAUAUACCUUAAACCAUGGUACAAAUAACGGAUUCACAAAUAUAUUAUUUAGAUCUGAUUCCAUAAACCCUCAAACAAUCUAGCCGACCCUUUUCCCUAUAAAUAUAGAUGCCUAAUGCCAUUGAGGAUACAAACUAACCUUUCUCUACGAAAACUUUGUUGUUUCUAUUCCUUUUAAUAAAAUGGCUGCAAAUCUUAGCAUCAUCACUCUUGCUGACAUCAAACCAUUCAUAUGGGUUUAAGAUGUUUUAAAUAUUUAGCCGACCUUCUUUUCCUAUAAUUAUUAAAGUCUACUACCAUUUUCAUUACUCACCAAUCUUUCAACUUUUUGUUUUCUUUUGCUACUCCGUUUUUCAUUUCAAAGUGUUUUCCUUUUUUCCAGAAUCUCAAACCUUAUAUUUAAAACAACUUAGUUUUGGUUUUUCUAAAGUUUACCAUUUUCUUAAGCCAUAUGAAGUUAACCCUUUCAUAUACAGAAGCAAUAAAGAUGGCAACUUUGGCUAUAUAUUUUCGGACUCGGGAAUCAAAUGCAUAGGUAUUUAAAACUAAUAGGUAUCUUUUUGUGACAUUGUGUUAUUUAUUUCAAUUUUUAAAUUAGUCAUUUAGUCAUUUAGAGUUAAGAUAUGUUAUGGUUUUAUAUUAGAUUGCCGACAGAGAGUAAAUAUUAAUAUGUGUAUGAAAACUACUAAACCCAAGAACUAUGCAGAAUGACACAAGAAGCAAGGACGAAAUCAUUUUAAAA